rnacentral:rRNA from 1 species
GACAGAGGGUGCAAACGUUGUUCGGAAUUACUGGGCGUAAAGCGCGUGUAGGCUGCUCAGAAAGUCGGAUGUGAAAGCCCUGGGCUUAACCUAGGAAGUGCAUUCGAAACUUCUGAGCUUGAGUUCUGGAGAGGAAGGCGGAAUUCUCGGUGUAGAGGUGAAAUUCGUAGAUAUCGAGAGGAACACCGGUGGCGAAGGCGGCAUCCUGGACCGGCAUUGACGCUGAUGAGCGAAAGCUAGGGGAGCAAACGGG